AGCGAACGCUGGCGGCGUGCCUAAUACAUGCAAGUCGAACGAAGUGGCGCACGGGUGAGUAAUAUACAGUUAAUCUGGCCUACACAGAGGAACAACAGUUGGAAAAGACUGCUAAUACCUCAUAGUGUAGGAUGAGACUAUAUAGUAUCAGCUAGGUGGUAAGGUAAUGGCUUAACAAGGCUAUGACGCGUAACUCGUCUGAGAGGAUGAGCAGUCGCAUUGGAUCGGAGACACAGACGAAACUCCUACGGGAAGGAGCAGUAAUGAAUAUUGCGCAUGGGGGGAGGCCCUGACGCAGCAACGCAGCGUGGAGGAUGACACUGUUCGGAGCGUAAACUCCUUUUAUCAGGAAGGCGGUGCCAGGUGAAUGAGCACCGGCUAACUCCGUGCCAGCAGCCGCGGUAAUAC
rnacentral:rRNA from 1 species